AAUAUUGCACAAUGGGGGAAACCCUGAUGCAGCGACGCCGCGUGAGCGAAGAAGGNCUNNGGGUCNUNAAGCUCUGUCCUAAGNNNNNAAACGGACGGUNCCUUAGGAGGAAGCCCCGGCUAACUACGUGCCAGCAGCCGCGGUAAUACGUAGGGGGCGAGCGUUAUCCGGAAUUACUGGGCGUAAAGGGUGCGUAGGCGGCCUUUUAAGUCAGAUGUGAAAGGCUACGGCUUAACCGUAGUUAGCAUUUGAAACUAAAAGGCUUGAGUGCAGGAGAGGAGAGUGGAAUUCCUAGUGUAGCGGUGAAAUGCGUAGAUAUUAGGAGGAACACCAGUGGCGAAGGCGACUCUCUGGACUGCAACUGACGCUGAGGCACGAAAGCGUGGGUAGCGAACAGG
rnacentral:rRNA from 1 species